CAUCUCUAAGGGUCACACCUGGAGAAUUUCUAGUACUCUAUCAGUCUUGACUACAGGAGGGAGAGUCAAGCAGAGUCAUACCCAUUCCAUUCCUAGCUUGGGGAGUGGCUAGCCAGUGUAAGGCAAUCUGCUACAAGU